rnacentral:rRNA from 1 species
AACGAACGCUGGCGGCAGGCCUAACACAUGCAAGUCGAGCGAAGCCUUCGGGCUUAGCGGCGGACGGGUGAGUAACACGUGGGAACGUGCCUUUAGGUUCGGAAUAACUCAGGGAAACUUGUGCUAAUACCGAAUGUGCCCUUCGGGGGAAAGAUUUAUCGCCUUUAGAGCGGCCCGCGUCUGAUUAGCUAGUUGGUGAGGUAAAGGCUCACCAAGGCGACGAUCAGUAGCUGGUCUGAGAGGAUGAUCAGCCACAUUGGGACUGAGACACGGCCCAAACUCCUACGGGAGGCAGCAGUGGGGAAUCUUGCGCAAUGGGCGAAAGCCUGGCGCAGCCAUGCCGCGUGAAUGAUGAAGGUCUUAGGAUUGUAAAAUUCUUUCACCGGGGACGAUAAUGACGGUACCCGGAGAAGAAGCCCCGGCUAACUUCGUGCCAGCAGCCGCAGUAAUAC